rnacentral:lncRNA from 1 species
AGGUAGUAAAAUCAGCAUGUAAAUGUGGGAUUGGAAAUGGCAGGUUAACAGUCGAACUUCAUUAGAGGAUAUAGGAAGUCAGAGAGAGAGGAUAUAAGGAAGAGGAAAUCAAUGACCUCUUCCUGGAAAUAUUUGACGUAUGUGUCCUACUCACUGUUUUUGCUUUUAGAUGUUGCAUAUUUCUAUUUUAUUUUUCAGAGAGAUGACUCAAGUUCAGCAGUGCAGGAAGAUUUCUGUGUUGUUUGAGGGCAUUUAGGAUGAAGAAGAAAGAGAGAAAGAGAGGAAAGGAGGAAGAAAGAAAGAAAAAGAAAUUCCUCUUGUCCAGUUUUGGACUCUAAGCUUCCAUUUUGCCACCUCUGAUCAGCCUCCCAGCACAUAGUUGUAUAUUCUUCGUUGCCGGUCCUUCUAGUUGUGGCAUGUGGGACACUGCCUCAGCGUGGUUUGAUGAGCAGUGUCAUGUCCGCACCCAGGAUUUGAACCAACGAAACACUGGGCCACCUGCAGCGGAGCGCGCGAACUUAACCACUCAGCCACGGGGCCAGUCCCUUUUUAUUUGUAUUUUAAUCUCCAUUUUAAAGAGUAAGAAAGGGAGGGAAUUUGACUCUUCUUUACUUUAGCUACAGAGCCUGAUAAGCCUGGCACACAGGAAGCAUACAGUAAAUAUUUGUCGCAUGAAAAGAAAAUGAGUGAAUGAAUGAAUGAUACAUUAGGCAAAUCAUUUGAAAUUACUUUGCUUCAGGUGUUGCAAUUGUAAAAUAAGAUAUUUUGACUACAUGAUAUAUUGUCUUCUAUGAUUUCCCAACCCCUUGACUACAGUCUGAGGUAGCUGAAAUUGUUGCUGCUCUGACAUGUCUAUUUAAACCUGUUUUGCUAUGUUUCCUCAG